rnacentral:rRNA from 1 species
AACGAACGCUGGCGGCAUGCCUAACACAUGCAAGUCGAACGAGAUCUUCGGGUCUAGUGGCGCACGGGUGCGUAACGCGUGGGAAUCUGCCCUUUGGUUCGGAAUAACAGUUGGAAACGACUGCUAAUACCGGUUGAUGACGAAAGUCCAAAGUUUGAUCGCCAGAGCGUGAGUCCGCGUGGGAUUAGCUAGUUGGUGUGGUAAAGGCGCCCCAAGGCGACGAUCCUUAGCUGUGCUGAGAGGAUGAUCAGCCACACGGGGACUGAGACACGGACCAGACUCCUACGGGAGGCAGCAGGGGGGAAUAUUGGAAAAUGGGCGAAAGCCUGAUCCAGCAAUGCCGGGUGAGUGAUGAAGGCCUUAGGGUUGUAAAGCUCUUUUACCCGGGAAGAUAAUGACAGUACCGGGAGAAUAAGCUCCGGCUAACUCCGUGCCAGCAGCCGCCGUAA